GUGCUUGCUUCAGCAACACAUAAACUAAAACUGAAACGAUACAGAGAUUAAUGUUGCCCUUGCACAAGAAUGGCAUGCAAAUUCAUGCAGCAUUCCAUAAUUUU